GCAACACAGAGCGUUCCCCAGCAGCUCCUGUCUGCAGGGGACAAGAUGACUGCCGCGUUACCCCAACGUACCAGCAAACGGCUACCUGGACAACAUUUCUGGAAGAGCAGCGUGUGCUACGCACUUCUCUGAACAGAUCUGCAGAUUGGAAGUCGAUGGGAGACAGGCUUUGGCACGAACUCAUCCCCUGCGCUUCCAGUCUGUACAGCUCUGCACUCUCAGUAUCAUCUUCCUUGGGCCACCCCAGACAGAAUAUGAAUCCUCUUAUUUAACUGGUCUAAAAUGAUGCCCCAUGGAAGAGACAGCAUGCUACAGAUGUCUGCUGAUUUUCCCUUGGGAUCCUUGUGUUCCUGGAAGAUAUAAAUUUAAUGGUGGAGUUGAUAAUGCCCAGCUGGAAUUUAGACCACAAGCUAGAGAACAAGAGUUUUGUGUCAUCUGGUAGCAGCUGGAAAUGCACUCCUUCCUUCUCUACAUACCAUGUGGGAAAGGUGAGAUCUGUGGCUACUUCCCACAUAGGAAAAAGAAGGUCCAUAACUUUGCUCUGAGCUCCGAAAGACUCAGACUCACUGGACUUGGACUCCUAGAUAUUCCAAAAUAUACACCCAGGCAAGGAGAAUCCCACACCAAGUCGGAGGUAACAGGGGACAAUGAGAUGUGCUGAGAAAAAAGGAGCAAACAACACCUAGGGCCAUAUUAUCAAGGACUGUGACACAGAUUAGCAAAUAUCAGAUUGAACAGCUGGAAGAGACUGUAAUUUCUGAAAAUCUUCUGCAGUGGAAAGUCUGGCCAGGACAGAGCCUAGGAGCAGAUAUUUUCUACAUUUGAAAGAUUUCUUACAGCUGGUUAACUGCCCAAAGACUGGAAGAGGCAACAAGUACACUGAAUUACUGGGGAGUUACCCUGUUCUGAGCUGGCCCUUCAAACACUCCUCCAUGCACAGAAGGGCAGAUGUCCCUAACUCUGGACAUACAAGCGACUGGUGAAUACAGCAACUAUCCUAAAAGUCUUGAGAUUUGUAGAGCCAUGAGCAAGCUUAAAGGAAGAACACUCAGGCAGUACCGCGCUGUCCUCCAACAACCUUACAUAACUGGUGACUGUUUGACACAUAGAAGUAGGCAUCUGUCACAUCAAGAGCUGUUCACCCACCUCUUUCACAUGAGGGACAGAUCAUUGUCCCUAGACACAAAGUCCUGCCCUUGACUGUCUAUAUUUCUAUUGAAGCUGAUGAUGCUCAGACUAUUGUUCUUCCAAAGGAUCAGGAAAGAGCACGAAUAAAACCACCUUCAAAAGCAUUCUUUAACUUGUGCUGACGAGAACAGAUCCGAGGCCAGAGGAGAAUUCAGUUAUUGGCAAGUGAGGUGUCCACCUAUAGAGAAUGAAGGAAAAUAACACCAUUGAGCCAGACUGCUUAUAAAAACUUCUUUAAGGGAAAAUCCACAGCCCAGCCUGCACAGAGCCAUGCCAUGAAUUCAGAGGGGUCUGUGAAAGAGGAGGAAGUCAUUUGGGCAAGGGAUUUCAGGGACUCAGGGAUUUUCACUUGGCUGUGGAACCCUUCCUCUCUCAGUCAGCACUCCAAAGCCAAAAGUCAUUAUGCCUGAUAGCUCCUACCUUCCAGGAAAUGAGCUUGUGAGUUUUAUUCUAUUUGUUAAUAGGCGGGUGUCCACUCCACCAAAAUCAACAGUAACAGAAAUACUUGCAGAUUCUUGCUGGCAGUCUCAGAGAAGGUAAGAAUAAAAGCUCGAGCACUGAAUUUCCCUUGCAUUCACACACUGAUUCUGUCUAAACUCUCCUUGCUCUGUGGAGUGAGAAUUUCUGUUCCUCAAUACCUUAUCAACACAAUAUUAAUUUUUAAACAGUAAUUUUCACUAACGAUUGAAUUAACUAGGGACUUGUAAAUGCAGAGGAGCUAAUUCAGAUUAAGGCAGAGGGUGAAUAUAGAGUUGAGCAAACCAUCCCUUAUUUAACCCUUGCCUAGAUGUUCUUAUUUUCCACCAAGUGUGUCCAAUUCCAAAACAGCUUGAUCUGCUUUUAAGUGACUUCUGCUGAUUUGGAACAGGACACACUCAUCCCAGAAUAAAGAUAUUCACAGAGAGGAAAUCAGGCAGAUAUAAUUGCACUGGAGUAAAUUUUAGGCAGAUAAGCCCUCAGGUUCUACCUACAUUAGAGCUUUUUGUGGUGGUACAGCUACUUGUUCUUUGACACUUGGGAAAAAAGUACAGACACUGCUUUAUCUCAGUGCAGUAUAUUUACAUAGUGUAGCUACAUCAGUGCAAAAUUUCCUGGCACAGACAAGCUGCAUAUUGCCCAAGCCAGCUGGCACAAAGACAGUGUGUAUUUCCUCAGGGUGGUAUUACAGCUCUACAAGCUAUUCAGGAAAAUAGGCCAGACAAUCAAACCUCCUUUUCCAGGUGUGUUCAUAAUGCCUCCUCUCACAAGGAAUGCUAAAAAAUGACAAAAAGAAAUGAAAUCUUGAAAAGAUAAUCUUCACGUAGCUUUCAGAGCAAAUGCCAACUGCAGCCUGCAGGGAAAAUGUGAAAGGAGCCACUGCUGCAGUAUAGCUGUUAAUUAGUCUAUAAGGAUUUGUGUUUAUAACAAGAAUGAAAACUAUCUAAUGCAAGAGAAGUAACACCGGCUGAACAGUUUUCAAUUUUAUAGCAAUAUUCAGCAUAUCUGCUCUAACAUAAAAGUGACACUGGAACUGCUAGGGCAGAAGACGCUCGGUUUUACUUAAGGCAGUUUACUCAAAGAACCUUUAACACUGUCCUGAAAUAUCUCACACAUAGCACAUCCCUCACCGUUUCAAUCCGGUGUUAUUCUGUAACCAGGGAUACAUCUAGAGAUCAUAGGAGGUUCUCUGGGAAAGCAACUCAGUAUCCCUGAAAUAUAACUAAGGAAUCACAAGGGGAUUUUAUCUUAUUGAGAUUUUAUAGUAAGAUAGUACUUAGCCCUGGCACCAAUGCUCUUCACCUAAUGAACAAAAUAAAAAUUCAAAUCAGCCAGAGAAACAGCUAUGGCAAGCACUUUCAUAAAGUUCACACUGACAAAUGCUCCAUCUCCUAUUUGCUGACAUGGCACAACAGGGAAACAAGCCACCCGUUUCCUGGCAUUCGUUUAAAUUGUACCUCUGAUAUACAAUCCAUGAGGACAGUAAUGGCUUGAAUUUCACUGGAGCUACAAAUAUCUAGGCUUUUUUUAAAGUUAGGCCACGUGUGCAUGAGAAAUAGGCAUACUUAAGCCGUGCAAACAGCCCUUACAGGCAGAGCCCCCAUGACUGAACAUGAAGAUCAUCUUCACUGCCAGUCAAAAACUGGCAAAAAAUGAUUAUGAACACUCUCAACACCAAGCCAGGGUAGUAAGUAAGGAUGUGAAUAUUUAGGUUAAUGUUAGCAGUCUCCUAAACUCACAGGACAAGACCACAGUGGGAGCUGGAGGUUCUCCAAGCGACAACAGAAAAGCAGGCCACAGAUGGGAGCUACUACAGUAGUUAGAUCUCUGGAGCACUACGCAAGUCACUGAAAGUACCAUUUUGUGAUAUCUUUUAGAAAAUAAUCUUUCCUUCCUCUGCAGACAUGGCACUGUUAUUUCUCAAAGCAAUGAAUGAUUUCCACUGACACGAUACGAGGCUGCUAUACAAAUGAGAGGUUAACAACUCAUUUCGGUAUACAUGGUAUUAAAAACAUAGGAUAUAAAAUCAAUAACUGCUACACAGGACACAGGUAAGCUAUUUAACAAAGUGAAAGCAGUAAAUUAGCCUAAUGGCAAGGCUACAUGCUGCAAUAUAGAUCAAACAAGUCUUGGUCUUCCCCUUACAACUGACAGCACUAGGAUUUCUCAAGGAAAACAAGUUCAUUAUCCUGUCUUUUCUGAGGAAGGGAGGAAAACUUGGAGCAUACAGCCCAAGUAGAGAAUAAAACAGAUUUGAAAAUAAUGUCAGGAGGGAAUGACUGGCCGUUGCAUGAGGAAAUUAAUCUUGCAAAUGGACCACAGGCCAUUAAAAGCACAGGAAGAAGGGAAGCAUAAAGAGGGAUUUACAGAGAUUGAGGCAGAACUCCCAAGAACAAGGACUCCAGGACUCCAUGUCAGAAUUACUGUGCUUUUUUAGGAACCUGCAACAAUAGAAGUGCUUAAACCUGCAACUUGGAUUAGCAAUUUGACAAUUUAACCAUUCCACCAUUUUACGCAGUGCUAGGUAGUAAGUCAGAAAAAAGAGUAAGUGGUUUGGAAAAGCACUAUAGCAAAACAGUGGAAUUAUAAGUAAAACUUAAUUUCAGUUCUAAACUGGUUUAGAGUUGAUAAAUUAUUAAUAUUUGGUUCUUGGAUGUUGUACUUUAAUGUACGUAUGAGAUCUACAGAUACACUAUGGUACUUGUACGAAACUCCUCAGUAUGUCACUAGGGGAUCUCUCCAAACUGGAGAUCCUGUACCCAAGCCAAGAGUCUUUCUGUUUUAGCAACCACUGGAAUUCAGGUCAAAAACAUUAUUGUAGGGAUACUGAAAUUUCUACUGAAAUGACAAAAAGUGACAAACUGUAUUACUUCCAAGUAAUUACUACAGCUUUCAUUAUCAAGGAAACCUACAGUUAUGUUUACACUGAGAUUUGCAUUUUAAUUUCUUAUUUUAACAAGCUUGUAGCUACAUGUUAAAAUCUCAGAUACUGAUUACUUGAGAUCUUAUUAAAAAAAACCCCAAAAUUUAUUGUACUUUUCAGUCGAAACAAUGAAAUAUAUUAUGUCUGCUGUGAAGAAUACCAUGUAUGAAUAAUACAACUAGCUGUAGUUCACAAGUCAGUUCUUUCAGAUAACUAACUUUUACUGACAAUUGAACUCCAAUUAAUUUGAAGAAUAUUGCAACCUAGCUAUUGAGAAGCUAGAUUUACACACAGGUGGUACAAAUAUGUUUUUUAAAAUAUGAGUUUGCUGUUCCAAAAUGUGUAACUAUCUAAGCAUUUAUGUUAAGGAGAAUGUUAAAGCUUCAAAGUUACAAGCACAAAACUCAGAAAAUGCCAUAAUUAACACUAUCUGCACCCUUUACAGGUAUGCCUACAUUAAAAUAUAGUCUUUACUUAUUUGAAAUUGUAGAAUCUUUUCGAACAUGCCCCUAUCUCAUUUACUGCACUUACUGUUACUGAAAGGGCAAAACUGGAAUCUGUGCAUGCAGCAUUAUUAAGUAAUGAUACUCCCAGUACUUCAGAAGGCAAACAAGGAGUUAAUGUUUUGUCAAUCAAACAAAUGCAACCGAUGGUCAUGACCUGUGUGAAAUGUCUUCACC